CCUACGGGUGGCAGCAGUGAGGAAUAUUGGUCAAUGGGCGCGAGCCUGAACCAGCCAAGUAGCGUGAAGGAUGACUGCCCUACGGGUUGUAAACUUCUUUUAUAAAGGAAUAAAGUGAGGCACGUGUGCCUUUUGGUAUGUAUUUUAUGAAUAAGGAUCGGCUAACUCCGUGCCAGCAGCCGCGGUAAUACGGAGGAUCCGAGCGUUAUCCGGAUUUAUUGGGUUUAAAGGGAGCGUAGAUGGGUUGUUAAGUCAGUUGUGAAAGUUUACGGCUUAACCGUAAAAUUGCAAUUGAUACUGGCAGCCUUGAGUACAGUUGAGGUAGGCGGAAUUCGUGGUGUAGCGGUGAAAUGCUUAGAUAUCACGAAGAACUCCGAUUGCGAAGGCAGCCUACUAGACUGCCACUGACAUUGAUGCUCGAAAGUGUGGGGAGCAAACAGGAUUAGAUACCCCUGUAGUC
rnacentral:rRNA from 1 species